rnacentral:rRNA from 1 species
UGGGGAAUAUUGCACAAUGGGGGAAACCCUGAUGCAGCAACGCCGCGUGAGUGAAGAAGUAUUUCGGUAUGUAAAGCUCUAUCAGCAGGGAAGAAAGUGACGGUACCUGACUAAGAAGCCCCGGCUAACUACGUGCCAGCAGCCGCGGUAAUACGUAGGGGGCAAGCGUUAUCCGGAUUUACUGGGUGUAAAGGGAGCGUAGACGGCACAGCAAGUCUGAAGUGAAAUCCCCGGGCUCAACCCGGGAACUGCUUUGGAAACUGUUGGGCUAGAGUGCUGGAGAGGCAAGCGGAAUUCCUAGUGUAGCGGUGAAAAUGCGUAGAUAUCACGAAGAACUCCGAUUGCGAAAGGCAGCCUGCUAAAGCUGCAACUGACAUUGAGGCUCGAAAAGUGUGGGUAUCAAAACAGGAUUAGAUACCC